rnacentral:rRNA from 1 species
AUGCACAUGCACGCGCUGCUGCCCCGCCUUGCUCUCCUCUGCCUCGCCGCCCAGCAAACCGGUCUGCUGCCGGUGGCCAUGGCGCGAACCAACCUGACCGUGGGAGACGCCCUGACGCCGCCCGGGUACAUCACCAGCCCGUCCGGCGGCUUCGCCUUCGGCUUCCGCGCCCUCGACUCCGACCCGACCAAGUUCAUCCUCGCCACCUGGUUCCGCCUCGGGGACGACGGCAGCUCCUCCCAGCCGCAGUCUGUAGUGUGGUUUGCGAAAAAGACGACCAUGGGCGACACGCCGAUCGCCACCAACGAGUCCGUCCUCAGCGUCACGGCCGACGGCCACCUCACGCUCACCGACGGCAGCGGCCAGGAGCUGUGGAGGGCCCCGACCCCCAGCAUGCAACGCGGGUCCGUGCUCGCGCUGAUCGACUCUGGCAAUGCUCGGUUCCUCGGCGGCGACGGGGACACCGUGCUCUGGGAGAGCUUCCGGUACCCGACGGACACGCUGCUGCCCGGGCAGCCCCUGGCUCCGUCGCCAGGGUCCCCGCUCGGGGGGUAUCUCUUCUCCAAGCGCGCGGACGCGGAGUUCGCCACGGGGCGGUUCAGCCUGGCGGCCCAGCCCGACGGCAACGUCGUCCUCUGCAUCGACCUCUUCACCGGUCACAUACAGCACAACUCCUACUGGGCCACCAACACCUACGGCUCCGGCGACAACACGACCGUCACCCUGGACGACCGGGGCUUUCUCAACUACACGCUUCACGAUGGCACCAUUCACAGCUUGAUUUCGCCGCCGGCGAGCAGCUCCGGCAGCCAUGGCGGCGACUACCUGCACUUCGCCAGGAUGGACACUGACGGCAUCGUCCGUACCUACACCCGCCCUAGAAACGGCGGCGGAAACACGCCUUGGACGGUGUCGGGAGCGCUCCCCGGCGACGGAGGCUGCACCAAGAUAACGUCCUUGAGGCAGGGCCUGUGCGGCCCAGGGUCUUACUGCGUGGAGACCAGAGAUCGGCUCAGCUGCCUGUGCCCGAGCGGGUACACUUACGUCGACGCGCAGCACACCGACAGCGGCUGCACGCCGGAGUUGGAGCCGCACAGCAGCUGCGGCGGGGAGAACGGCGGCUCCGACGAGUUCUCGUUCGUCGAGAUGCCCAACACCACCUGGGAGAUUUCGCUGUACCACAAGAAGUACCCGUCGGUCACGGAGGGGCAGUGCAGGAGCUACUGCCUCAGCCACUGCUACUGCGCGGCCGCGCUGAUGAUCAACGGAUCCGACUGCGCAGAGGUGGGGGCGCUCACGUACGGCCGGCGGGCGGACGACAUCACGACGACGACGCUGAUCAAAGUGCGCAAGGGGAAUGCUCCUUACACGGAUGGACCGUCGGCGGCAACGAGAAAGAUACUACGUCCCUACAAGAUCGCCACCCUUUGCGUCUCCGGCCUCCUGUUGAUCACCAUCAGCGGCCUCGUGGCACGGCGCUACCUCGUCGGGGACGGCGAUAGCCAGCGGCCAUUGAACUAUGGCGUGAGAGCGUUCAGCUGGAAAGAGCUACACCAAGCCACCAACGGCUUUCAGAAACUGUUGGGCAAAGGGAGCUUCGGGGAGGUCUACAAAGGGACGAUAAGAUCGCCGCAGCCACACCCCAUUGCGGUGAAGAAGCUCAUCGACUCCAACGAGUACAGCGAGCAGGAGUUCACCAACGAGGUGCAGUCCAUCGGGCAGAUCCACCACCGGAACCUGGUCCGUAUGAUCGGCUACUGCAAAGAAGGCAAGCAUCGGAUGCUGGUCUUCGAGUUCAUGCCUGGCGGGUCGCUACGUGGAGCCCUCUUCGUCAACCAAGAGAGGCGGCCUCCAUGGUGCUGGCGUGCCGAGGCCGCCCUGGCCAUCGCCCGGGGGCUCGAGUACCUCCACGACGGCUGCAGCGCCCCGGUCAUCCACUGCGACAUUAAGCCUGACAACAUCCUGCUAGACGACCACGGCGUCCCGAGGAUCACCGACUUCGGGAUCUCCAAGCUGCUGGGGAGCCAGCAAGUGCACACCACGGUGACCCAUAUCAGGGGCACCAGAGGGUACAUCGCGCCCGAGUGGCUCCGCAGCGAAGCGCGCGUCGACACCAAGGCGGACGUGUACAGUUUCGGUGUUGUGCUGCUGGAGAUGAUCUGCUGCCGGAGGUGCCAGGAGCGUGUGGUGCAGGACAACCUGCCGACGGGCACAGUAGAUGACGAUGAGACGGUCACGCUGUUCGGCUGGGCGGCGCAGCUAGUGGUCGCGCGAAGGACGGAGCUGAUGCUAGACGGCGAUGCGGAGGUUGAGACCGUAGAGGACGUGGAGAAGGUAGAGCAGUUCGCGCGCGUGGCGCUCUGGUGCAUCGAGCCGAACCCGCAGCUGCGGCCGACCAUGCACCAAGUGGUGCAGAUGAUGGAGACCAGGAACGGGGCUCAGAUUCAGGCACUGCCUGACCCUCCAAACUGCUACGUAGAAUCCUCACCUCUAAUUCCUCAGCUCAAAGAUUGA